rnacentral:misc_RNA from 1 species
UACGGAAGGUGUGAGCGUUAAUCGGAAUAACUGGGCGUCAAGCGCGCGUAGGUGGUUGAGUCAGUCAGAUGUGAAAGCCCCGGGCUUAACCUGGGAACUGCACCUGAUACUGCCUAACUAGACUACGGUAGAGGGCAGUGGAAUUUCCUGUGUAGCGGUGAAAUGCGUAGAUAUAGGAAGGAACACCAGUGGCUAAGGCGACUGCUUGGACUGAUACUUACACUGAGGCGCGAAAGCGUGGGUAGCAAACAGG